rnacentral:rRNA from 1 species
AUUGAACGCUGGCGGCAUGCCUAACACAUGCAAGUCGAACGGUAACAGGCCCUUCGGGCGCUGACGAGUGGCGGACGGGUGAGUAAUGCUUAGGAAUCUGCCUAGUAGUGGGGGAUAACCCGGGGAAACUCGGGCUAAUACCGCAUACGUCCUACGGGAGAAAGCGGGGGACCUUCGGGCCUCGCGCUAUUAGAUGAGCCUAAGUCCGAUUAGCUAGUUGGUAGGGUAACGGCCUACCAAGGCGACGACGGUAGCUGGUCUGAGAGGACGACCAGCCACACUGGGACUGAGACACGGCCCAGACUCCUACGGGAGGCAGCAGUGGGGAAUAUUGGACAA